AGACGGAGGGGGCUAGCGUUAUUCGGAAUGACUGGGCGUAAAGCGCGUGUAGGCGGACUUUUAAGUUAGGCGUGAAAGCCCCGGGCUCAACCCGGGAACUGCGUCUAAAACUGGAAGACUAGAGUACUGUAGAGGAGAGUGGAAUUCCUAGUGUAGAGGUGAAAUUCGUAGAUAUUAGGAGGAACACCAGAGGCGAAGGCGGCUCUCUGCAGUAACUGACGCUGAGACGCGAAAGCGUGGGGAGCAAACAGGAUUAGAAACCCUAGUAGUCC
rnacentral:rRNA from 1 species